CUAACGAGCACGAUCAUUGGGAAGGCUGAUCCAAAAGAUUUUCUUUAGAUGUCCAAACAAAAAAAAGAGUGAAAAAAGAGAGGAAGACAGUCUCUAUCUCAGAAAGAAAUAGAAAGAGAUAGAACAUAAGAAGAGAUUGAGAGCUUUAUUGUUUUUUAAAUAGUUGGAUCUAGAGUCUAUAAAACUCUGCACGGAUUACCGAUAAGGCACCA
rnacentral:lncRNA from 1 species